AGUGAACGCUGGCGGUAGGCCUAACACAUGCAAGUCGAACGGCAGCACAGUAAGAGCUUGCUCUUACGGGUGGCGAGUGGCGGACGGGUGAGGAAUACAUCGGAAUCUACUUUUUCGUGGGGGAUAACGUAGGGGAACUUACGCUAAUACCGCAUACGACAUACGGGUGAAAGCAGGGGAGCUUCGGACCUUGCGCGAUUGAAGGAGCCGAUGUCGGAUUAGCUAGUUGGCGGGGUAAAGGCCGACCAAGGCGACGAUCCGUAGCUGGUCUGAGAGGAUGACCAGCCACACUGGGACUGAGACACGGUCCAGACUCCUACGGGAGGCAGCAGUGGGGAAUAUUGGACAAUGGGCGCAAGCCUGAUCCAGCCAUACCGCGUGGGUGAAGAAGGCCUUCGGGUUGUAAAGCCCUUUUGUUGGGAAAGAAAAGCAGCAGGUUAAUACCCCGCUGUGCUGACGGUACCCAAAGAAUAAGCACCGGCUAACUUCGUG
rnacentral:rRNA from 1 species